rnacentral:rRNA from 1 species
GAUGAACGCUGGCGGCGUGCCUAAUACAUGCAAGUCGAGCGAACGGACGAGAAGCUUGCUUCUCUGAUGUUAGCGGCGGACGGGUGAGUAACACGUGGAUAACCUACCUAUAAGACUGGGAUAACUUCGGGAAACCGGAGCUAAUACCGGAUGAUAUUUUGAACCGCAUGGUUCAAAAGUGAAAGACGGUCUUGCUGUCACUUAUAGAUGGAUCCGCGCUGCAUUAGCUAGUUGGUAAGGUAACGGCUUACCAAGGCAACGAUGCAUAGCCGACCUGAGAGGGUGAUCGGCCACACUGGAACUGAGACACGGUCCAGACUCCUACGGGAGGCAGCAGUAGGGAAUCUUCCGCAAAGGGCGAAAGCCUGACGGAGCAACGCCGCGUGAGUGAUGAAGGUCUUCGGAUCGUAAAACUCCGUUAUUAGGGAAGAACAUAUGUGUAAGUAACUGUGCACAUCUUGACGGUACCUAAUCAGAAAGCCACGGCUAACUACGUG